rnacentral:lncRNA from 1 species
GUAUGAGGGACAGCCAUCACACUGAAUAAAUAUAAGAGAUGCUGCAAAAUGAUCUCAUGGGUCUCAAAGAGGCAAGAAAGCAGAGUUACUGAUGUCUCAGCCUGGCCUUUGAGGCAGCCACCCAUUUCUCAGAUUCUCAGGAAUUAGUUGAGAGAGCCACACUGAAGAAACCUGUGUGGACCAAUGACCAAGGACCAGAGAGGAACUAGGAUGCUACAUCAGACACCAGCAUGGCCUGGCAGCACCAGAACCCUUCCUUCCCACUCACAUACACCAAGCUUGAAAAUGUAGGCACGACCCUAAAGAGAACAGAAUGGAAUCCUAAACAGAUUAAGAUCGACUUUUCACUGCCCAACAGUAUAAGGGCCGAACAUAGAAAUUAAACUCUGUUCAAGAAAUAUGACAAUAGGUCCAUUUCACAUGUUACUGUGUGAAAUAAUUUUCCA